rnacentral:lncRNA from 1 species
CCCCGCUGCUCCCUCUGUGCGACCACUCAGCUGGACGGGGCUCCCGGGCACCUGUCUGCCUGGCAGAGGGUGUUCGCAGCUGAGCAGCUGCCAUUGCACCGGCCGUCAUCACCGGUCCCCACGCGGGGGUAGAUAUUCACGGCGCGACGUGUAAAAUCUCCAGAAAACUGGACAAGCACUCUGACCGAACAAGAGGGCCUCGAAAUGUACCUCAGGCUGGGCUUGAACUCUUGGUGAUCCUCCUGCCUCAGCCUCCGAGUGCUGGGGUGACAAGUAAGAUCUGUCUGCUGCAGAAAACUAGAAGGUACCGUAGGUGAUGAAGAAGAAAAAGCCACUGCCCAGCCUGGCGGAGCACGCGGCCCCUUGCUGUGAGCGGGAGACGGCCCCAGCGAAGCCCUGGGGCGGAAGGGACACUGCACACACGCUGCGACCUGCGGCCUCUUUACAGCGAGCAGUAAAUGUCACAGGUGCUGGCGCCGCCCGUCCCUCUGCUCGUCACCCAGCC